rnacentral:rRNA from 1 species
AACGAACGCUGGCGGCAGGCUUAACACAUGCAAGUCGAGCGCCCUCUUUUAGAGGGAGCGGCAGACGGGUGAGUAACGCGUGGGAAUCUACCUAUCUCUAGGGAAUAACUCAGGGAAACUUGUGCUAAUACCCUAUACGCCCUUUUGGGGAAAGAUUUAUCGGAGAUAGAUGAGCCCGCGUUGGAUUAGCUAGUUGGUGGGGUAAAGGCCUACCAAGGCGACGAUCCAUAGCUGGUCUGAGAGGAUGAUCAGCCACACUGGGACUGAGACACGGCCCAG